CCUACGGGAGGCUGCAGUGGGGAAUAUUGGACAAUGGGGGGAACCCUGAUCCAGCCAUGCCGCGUGUGUGAAGAAGGCCCUCGGGUUGUAAAGCACUUUCAGUGAGGAAGAACGCCUGGUGGUUAAUACCCAUCAGGAAAGACAUCACUCACAGAAGAAGCACCGGCUAACUCCGUGCCAGCAGCCGCGGUAAUACGGAGGGUGCGAGCGUUAAUCGGAAUUACUGGGCGUAAAGCGCGCGUAGGUGGCUUGAUAAGCCGGUUGUGAAAGCCCCGGGCUCAACCUGGGAACGGCAUCCGGAACUGUCAAGCUAGAGUGCAGGAGAGGAAGGUAGAAUUCCCGGUGUAGCGGUGGAAUGCGUAGAGAUCGGGAGGAAUACCAGUGGCGAAGGCGGCCUUCUGGACUGACACUGACACUGAGGUGCGAAAGCGUGGGUAGCAAACAGGAUUAGAUACCCCAGUAGUC
rnacentral:rRNA from 1 species